GGGGGAGGAGAAGGGCCUAAUGGGUUUGGGGUGUUGGGUUCACACCCGAAACCCAAAACCCAGUUCCAUUUGCUUUAAAGGGGGUGGAUUCGGAUUUUUGGAUUUUAGAAAUUUGGAUCCAUUAAUUCAUUAGCCAAUUAAUAACUGACUUGACCAGACCACAUUGAGUUGGUUUGAUUUGGUUUGGGGUUGUUUUGCAGUUUACCACUAGAUGAAGAAUUUAUUAUAAAUGGAAUUUUUUCAAUAGUUUUGCAAGCAGAGAGGGAGGUGGUGGAUCCACGAGGAAGAAAGGAGAAAGAAAAAAAAUUAUUUUUUUAAAAUAAAAUACAAUAAAAAUAAUAUUUUGUGAUACCUUAACUAUAUUUUACAAUUAUGAAAAAAGCACAAUAGCAAAACUCAAAAUUUAUAAAUGUAUAUAUAAAUAAAAAUUUUAUAUAAUAAGUUUUUGAUCGGUGGCGAUGGUGGUUUUGGGUGGUGAAAUGAAAAGAAGGAAGGGAGGAGGAGAAGCGUCAAAUAGGUUUGGGGUUUUGUGUUCACCCGUGAAACCCAAAAUCCAGCUGAUCCAUUUGCUUUAAAAGAGGGGAUUUGAAUUUUUGGAUUUUAGAAAUCUGGAUCCAUUAAUCCAUCAGCCCAUUAAUAAUUGAUUUGACCAAACCACAAUGAGUUGAUUUGAUU
rnacentral:lncRNA from 1 species